GACGUAGGGCGCAAGCGUUGUCCGGAUUUAUUGGGCGUAAAGAGCUCGUAGGCGGCCUGUCGCGUCGACCGUGAAAACCCGCAGCUCAACUGCGGGCUUGCGGUCGAUACGGGCAGGCUGGAGUUCGGUAGGGGAGACUGGAAUUCCUGGUGUAGCGGUGAAAUGCGCAGAUAUCAGGAGGAACACCGGUGGCGAAGGCGGCUCUCUGGGACGGUACUGACGCUGAGACGCGAAAGCGUGGGGAGCGAACAGG
rnacentral:rRNA from 1 species